rnacentral:rRNA from 1 species
UACGAAGGGGGGCUAGCGUUGCUCGGAAUCACUGGGCGUAAAGGGUGCGUAGGCGGGUUUUUAAGUCAGGGGUGAAAUCCUGGAGCUCAACUCCAGAACUGCCUUUGAUACUGAAGAUCUUGAGUUCGGGAGAGGUGAGUGGAACUGCGAGUGUAGAGGUGAAAUUCGUAGAUAUUCGCAAGAACACCAGUGGCGAAGGCGGCUCACUGGCCCGAUACUGACGCUGAGGCACGAAAGCGUGGGGAGCAAACCAGG